rnacentral:rRNA from 1 species
AGUAAAUAGAUACCCGGGUAGUCCCAGCCGUAAACGAUGCUCGCUAGGUGUCAGGCAUGGCGCGACCGUGUCUGGUGCCGCAGGGAAGCCGUGAAGCGAGCCACCUGGGAAGUACGGCCGCAAGGCUGAAACUUAAAGGAAUUGGCGGGGGAGCACAACAACGGGUGGAGCCUGCGGUUUAAUUGGACUCAACGCCGGACAACUCACCGGGGGCGACAGCAAUAUGUAGGCCAGGCUGAAGACCUUGCCUGAAUCGCUGAGAGGAGGCGCAUGGCCGUCGCCAGUUCGUACUGUGAAGCAUCCUGUUAAGUCAGGCAACGAGCGAGACCCGUGCCCACUGUUACCAGCAUAUUCUCCGGAAUGAUGGGUACUCUGUGGGGACCGCCGAUGUUAAAUCGGAGGAAGGUGCGGGCCACGGUAGGUCAGUAUGCCCCGAAUCUCCCGGGCUACACGCGGGCUACAAUGGAUGGGACAAUGGGUCCCUACCCUGAAAAGGGCUGGUAAUCUCACAAACCCAUUCGUAGUUCGGAUCGAGGGCUGUAAC